rnacentral:rRNA from 1 species
CUACAAUGGACAAUACAAAGGGCAGCGAAACCGCGAGGUCAAGCAAAUCCCAUAAAGUUGUUCUCAGUUCGGAUUGUAGUCUGCAACUCGACUAUAUGAAGCUGGAAUCGCUAGUAAUCGUAGAUCAGCAUGCUACGGUGAAUACGUUCCCGGGUCUUGUACACACCGCCCGUCACACCACGAGAGUUUGUAACACCCGAAGCCGGUGGAGUAACCAUUUGGAGCUAGCCGUCGAAGGUGGGACAAAUGAUUGGGGUGAAGUCGUAACAAGGUAGCCGUAUCGGAAGGUGCGGCUGGAUCACCUCCUUUCUAAGGA